rnacentral:misc_RNA from 1 species
UCUCCGUUGGUGAACCAGCGGAGGGAUCAUUACCGAGUUUACAACUCCCAAACCCCAUGCGAACCAUACCAAACUGUUGCCUCGGCGGGGUCACGCCCCGGGUGCGUCGCAGCCCCGGAACCAGGCGCCCGCCGGAGAGACCAACCAAACUCUUUCUGUAGUCCCCUCGCGGACGUUAUUUUUACAGCUCUGAGCAAAAAUUCAAAAUGAAUCAAAACUUUCAACAACGGAUCUCUUGGUUCUG